rnacentral:tRNA from 1 species
GUCAGGAUGGCCGAGUGGUCUAAGGCGCCAGACUCAAGUUCUGGUCUUCAAGAGAGGGCGUGGGUUCAAAUCCCACUUCUGACA